rnacentral:rRNA from 1 species
AGAGUUUGAUCCUGGCUCAGAAUGAACGUUGGCGGCGUGGAUUAGGCAUGCAAGUCGAACGCCCCGCAAGGGGAGUGGCGCAAGGGUGAGUAAGGCGAUGGUAACCAACCUCGCGGACGGGCAUAGCCGGGGGAAACCCCGGGUAAUUCCCGGCGACGCAGUGAGCCGGCAUCGGCUUAUUGCCAAAGGCUUCGGCCGCCGCGAGACGGGCCGUCGUGGUAUUAGGUCGUUGGUGGGGUGACGGCCCACCAAGCCUUCGAUGCCUACCGGGUGUGAGAGCAUGGCCCGGCACACUGGGACUGAGACACUGCCCAGACUCCUACGGGAGGCUGCAGUCGAGAAUCUUCGGCAAUGGGCGCAAGCCUGACCGAGCGACGCCGCGUGGAGGACGAAGGCCUUCGGGUUGUAAACUCCUGUCGAGGGGGAGGAAGGUGCAAGCUUGACCGAUCCCUGGAGGAAGCACGGGCUAAGUUCGUGCCAGCAGCCGCGGUAAGACGAACCGUGCGAACGUUAUUCGGAAUUACUGGGCUUAAAGCGCGUGUAGGCGGGCCGGCACGUCCGACGCUGAAAUCCCCCGGCUCAACCGGGGAAGUGGCGGGGAUACGACCGGCCUCGAGGGGGGUAGGGGGACCUGGAACUUCCGGUGGAGCGGUGAAAUGCGUUGAGAUCGGAAGGAACGCCCGUGGCGAAAGCGAGGUCCUGGACCCUUUCUGACGCUGAGACGCGAAAGCCAGGGGAGCGAACGGGAUUAGAUACCCCAGUAGUCC